AACGAACGCUGGCGGCAUGCCUAACACAUGCAAGUCGAACGAGACCCUCGGGUCUAGUGGCGCACGGGUGCGUAACGCGUGGGAACCUGCCCUUUGGUUCGGAAUAACUCCCCGAAAGGGGUGCUAAUACCGGAUAAUGUCUUCGGACCAAAGAUUUAUCGCCUUUGGAUGGGCCCGCGUUGGAUUAGCUAGUUGGUAGGGUAAAAGCCUACCAAGGCGACGAUCCAUAGCUGGUCUGAGAGGAUGAUCAGCCACACUGGGACUGAGACACGGCCCAGACUCCUACGGGAGGCAGCAGUGGGGAAUAUUGGACAAUGGGCGAAAGCCUGAUCCAGCAAUGCCGCGUGAGUGAUGAAGGCCUUAGGGUUGUAAAGCUCUUUUACCCGGGAUGAUAAUGACAGUACCGGGAGAAUAAGCUCCGGCUAACUCCGUG
rnacentral:rRNA from 1 species